rnacentral:sRNA from 1 species
CGCUGGGAGUCUCGAAGGAUCCGUCACAAUUGAUUGCUGCAGUCGGUUACAGAAAUCUUUGUUUCUUCUCUCCCACCGCUGAACUUGACUAGCCUUUU